UACUCGUGUGCCUACUGAACUGGAAUCAGUGUGUCUUUUCAGAACUGGCUCAGUCCAGCAGGAACAAGAGU
rnacentral:pre_miRNA from 1 species